rnacentral:rRNA from 1 species
ACAGCAGUAGCCGCGGUAAUACGGAGGGGGCUAGCGUUGUUCGGAAUUACUGGGCGUAAAGCGCACGUAGGCGGCUUGGUAAGUUAGAGGUGAAAGCCUGGAGCUCAACUCCAGAAUUGCCUUUAAGACUGCCGAGCUAGCAGGUGAGAGAGGUAAGUGGAAUUCCGAGUGUAGAGGUGAAAUUCGUAGAUAUUCGGAAGAACACCAGUGGCGAAGGCGGCUUACUGGCUCAUACUGGACGCUGAGGUGCGAAAGCGUGGGGAGCAAACAGGAUUAGAGACCCCAGUAGUCCCUGUCUCUUAUAC